ensembl:snRNA RNU6-1263P RNA, U6 small nuclear 1263, pseudogene
GUGCUCACUUCGGUGGCACAUAUACUAAAAUUGGAACAAUACAGAGAUGAUUAGCAUGGCCCCUGCACAAGGAUGGCACGCAAAUUUGUAAGCAUUCCAUAUUUUU